rfam:Camelus ferus unplaced genomic scaffold scaffold1533, whole genome shotgun sequence.
GGGUAUAGAUCAGUGGUAGAGUGUGUGCUUAGCAUGCACAAGGUCCUGGGUUCAAUCCCCAGUGUAUCCA